rnacentral:rRNA from 1 species
AGGUUAACCGUAUAGGGGAGCCGUAGGGAAACCGAGUCUUAACUGGGCGAAUGAGUUGCAGGGUAUAGACCCGAAACCCGGUGAUCUAUCCAUGGGCAGGUUGAAGGUUGGGUAACACUAACUGGAGGACCGAACCGACUAAUGUUGAAAAAUUAGCGGAUGACUUGUGGAUGGGGGUGAAAGGCCAAUCAAACCGGGAGAUAGCUGGUUCUCCCCGAAAGCUAUUUAGGUAGCGCCUCGUGAACUCAUCUUCGGGGGUAGAGCACUGUUUCGACUAGGGGGUCAUCCCGACUUACCAACUCGAUGCAAACUGCGAAUACCGAAGAAUGUUAUCACGGGAGACACACGGCGGGUGCUAACGUCCGUCGUGAAGAGGGAAACAACCCAGACCGCCAGCUAAGGUCCCAAAGUCAUGGUUAAGUGGGAAACGAAGUGGGAAGGCUCAGACAGCCAGGAUGUUGGCUUAGAAGCAGCCAUCAUUUAAAGAAAGCGUAAUAGCUCACUGGUCGAGUCGGCCCGCGCGGAAGAUGUAACGGGGCUAAACCAUGCACCGAAGCUGCGGCAGCGACACAUAGUGUUGUUGGGUAGGGGAGCGUUCUGUAAGCCUGCGAAGGUGUACUGUGAGGUAUGCUGGAGGUAUCAGAAGUGCGAAUGCUGACAUAAGUAACGAUAAUGCGGGUGAAAAACCCGCACGCCGGAAGACCAAGGGUUCCUGUCCAACGUUAAUCGGGGCAGGGUGAGUCGACCCCUAAGGCGAGGCUGAAAAGCGUAGUCGAUGGGAAACGGGUUAAUAUUCCCGUACUGGUGGUAACUGCGAUGGGGGAACGGAGAAGGCUAGGUUGUCCGGGCGACGGUCGUCCCGGUUCAAGCAGGUAGGCAGAGUGAUUAGGCAAAUCCGGUCACUUAAUGCUGAGAUGUGAUGACGAACCACCAAGGUGGUGAAGCAAUUGAUGCCCCGCUUCCAGGAAAAGCCUCUAAGCUUCAGGUUACCAACAAUCGUACCCCAAACCGACACAGGUGGUCAGGUAGAGAAUACUCAGGCGCUUGAGAGAACUCGGGUGAAGGAACUAGGCAAAAUGGUGCCGUAACUUCGGGAGAAGGCACGCUGGCGGUAGGUAAAGUCCCUUGCGGACGGCGCCCAAGCCAGUCGAAGAUACCAGCUGGCUGCAACUGUUUAUUAAAAACACAGCACUGUGCAAACACGAAAGUGGACGUAUACGGUGUGACGCCUGCCCGGUGCUGGAAGGUUAAUUGAUGGGGUUAGCGUAAGCGAAGCUCCUGAUCGAAGCCCCAGUAAACGGCGGCCGUAACUAUAACGGUCCUAAGGUAGCGAAAUUCCUUGUCGGGUAAGUUCCGACCUGCACGAAUGGCGUAAUGAUGGCCAGGCUGUCUCCACCCGAGACUCAGUGAAAUUGAACUCGCUGUGAAGAUGCAGUGUACCCGCGGCAAGACGGAAAGACCCCGUGAACCUUUACUAUAGCUUGACACUGAACAUUGAGCCUUGAUGUGUAGGAUAGGUGGGAGGCUUUGAAGUGUGGACGCCAGUCUGCAUGGAGCCAACCUUGAAAUACCACCCUUUAACGUUUGAUGUUCUAACCUAGGCCCAUAAACUGGGUCGGGGACCGUGUCUGGUGGGUAGUUUGACUGGGGCGGUCUCCUCCUAAAGAGUAACGGAGGAGCACGAAGGUUGGCUAAGCAUGGUCGGACAUCAUGCGGUUAGUGCAAAGGCAUAAGCCAGCUUGACUGCGAGAGUGACGGCUCGAGCAGGUACGAAAGUAGGUCUUAGUGAUCCGGUGGUUCUGAAUGGAAGGGCCAUCGCUCAACGGAUAAAAGGUACUCCGGGGAUAACAGGCUGAUACCGCCCAAGAGUUCAUAUCGACGGCGGUGUUUGGCACCUCGAUGUCGGCUCAUCACAUCCUGGGGCUGAAGUAGGUCCCAAGGGUAUGGCUGUUCGCCAUUUAAAGUGGUACGCGAGCUGGGUUUAGAACGUCGUGAGACAGUUCGGUCCCUAUCUGCCGUGGGCGUUGGAAGAUUGAGAGGGGUUGCUCCUAGUACGAGAGGACCGGAGUGAACGCACCACUGGUGUUCGGGUUGUCAUGCCAAUGGCAUUGCCCGGUAGCUAAGUGCGGAAGAGAUAACCGCUGAAAGCAUCUAAGCGGGAAACUUGCCUCGAGAUGAGUCUUCCCUGUCGCUUUAAGCGACCUAAAGGAACGUUUAAGACUAAGACGUUGAUAGGCUGGGUGUGUAAGCGUAGCGAUACGUUGAGCUAACCAGUACUAAUGAACCGUGAGGCUUAACC